GCAUGGCCAUCUGUUUUCUUCUUAGUUGAAAUUUUCCUAGGAAAAAAAAAAAAAAAAAGAAUACUGUCAUUAGAACUUCAUUAUGAUACGAGAACUCUUGGCUAGUAGGGAGCAGAGAAAAUAUUUUAUGUCCUACUUUUUGAAAAAUAACUGCAAAAUACAUCUGGGCCUCCCAAAUAUUCAGCUAUUGCAAAUCUUGUCCUAUAUAAAUACUACCUAUGAAGUUCUGGAUAGAAAGUUUCCAUCAGCUGCUUUACCAGCAAGAAGGAAAAUAGAGUGAGCCAUCUUCUCAGAGUGAAGGCUCUGUUCCAGAUCACAGGCUUUGCAGGAAAUGCAUUUUUAUCUCUAAUUCUGAAUUACAGGAUAGUCAGUGGCCCAAUAAGGGAACACCAGUCAAGUCAUCUACAGCAACUCAUCAUUUUUGACUGAACCCACCCAACUGCAAUAAGGAGCAUGCCAGCUCACAUCAACACAGUUUGGCUCCCAGGUGAUUCACCUGUACACCCCAGAGUUAAUUCAUUGUGCACAUGAACAUAGUCACAGAGAAGCUGAUAGAACUUCUUUGGUUAAAGUUGCACAUCUCUGAACUUGCAGAGGUGACCUGCAGAGCUACACACUGAGAAAAGAGGGCAUUUUUACUCAAAACUUAUACUAGGAAAAACGCUACUAUUCAUUUGUUCUAACCACAGAUUCCUCCCUGGGGUAAUCCCAAGUCCAUCUUUGCCUAGCUUUAUAGCGUGGCCAGCAUAAAUUGAUGGCAGGACUAUGAUGAUCCAGGGACUUGUCGGUUAGCAGUGCUUGUGGAAACCGUUGCAUCGACUUAUUUAUGUUCAGUAAGAAUCACUUACAGGACUGUAGAGCUUCAGGUGAGUAUUUCUGAUGCACACGGAAGUCUGACUAGCCAGUUGUGACUACAUGGUUGUUUUUUUAGGAGAUAAACAUGUUAAAUACCACUAAGAAGCCUGUCAUGGUUGAUAGGAGAUAGCAAUUGUUUAGGAAUACUAACUCCACAAGACAGUCUUCAGUCUAUUUUAUCUGAUCCUUAGGUCUCAACAAAUCCAGCAUUGUAGCCAAGCCAAAAUCAGUUACAAAAAAGUGUGGGAGGUACAGAAAAAUAACCACCCAAGUUAAAAAUAAAUGUUGUAGGAAUUAAAACAAUAUAUCUUUGUUUUCACUAUUUCUUCACUACUACCUCAACAUAGCUUCCAGAAUCUGGACGGUCACCAUUCUUUUUACUGCAGGUAGGUUCGCCCAAGAAAAAGAAAAAAAAAAAACACUAAGCCUUUGCACAACUGUCAACACUGACUUGUCGCAGGUAGUUCAUAAAGCCUGAACUCAUCCCAGGGCUUAAGCAUGUGCUUUAGCUUUUGCUUAACUCUCAGGCUGUGAGCAACUUUUAUGAAGCUGGAAUGACAACUCAUGAUUCAAGUUAACGGGAAAAUAGGAGCUUUACUCUACUAAGAUUUUUUUAAUGAGGACAUAACGAUAUUUGUUCUAGAUCAGAUUCAAAGACAUGGGGAAAAAGUAAUGGUAAACCCUCCUCUGGGCCUGUUCACGUUACCUGUAAGAAGGCACUGUGCAGACACUCCAGGGGCAGCACCAGCAAGGCAGGGCCCUGGAGAGGGCAUGGACCUAGCCAUAGCAGUCCCCACAGCUGGGCAGAUGCUUCCCUGAAUGUACAAUUGAUUUUGUUGCAGCAGGGUUGACCCCUGCAAAGCGCUUCUGGCACAACCAGGAGAGAAUCGAAGCAAAAAGGCUGUGCAGUGUUGUAUUUGUACCAAAACCGAUAUGCAAGCUGCACCUGCUUUUGACCUCCUGUUCCCUGCUGACGUAGUCCUGCCCUAUUUAUAUAGCUGAACUUGGUAAAAUGAUCAAUUAAGCAUCAUAAACUAAGAAGUCACAUGGAAGCUUACUGGCAUGGCAUGGUAUAAUUAGCAUUGUUUCCUCAGGAGAAAACAGUACUGUAUUUAUUUUAUUUCAUGUCCAAAAGUAAUGUAUAAAUGAAAAUCUGCAACAGACCUUCACAAAAUUUCCCCACAAGAGUCCGUUAAUGAAGCCAGGUAUUACCGAAAUGAGAGGCAAGGUGUCAUAACAUUCUGUAAACUCGUUAAGAGUCAGGGAGAUAAACGCCCCACAAGCACAAGCUGUGCAUGAAAUUACACCGCUCCCUAGCAGCUUAGAAAAGUAGCUCUGGUAACCUCACCGACAGUGCUGUUAGAGUUGCACUACUGAUAAUGGAUAGGACCUUAAUACUCACACCCAUCAGAUCACGAUUUUUAACAUUUUCCAACUCCAUGCAGUGACGUACCAACAGCUUGGUAUUCAAGCACGCCUGGUGAACACUUGAUCAAGCGUCGACACUCACCAGCAGGGCAGCUUAUUAUAUAUAUUUUUUUAAUUUAUUUUUAUUUUUAUUUUAUUUGGUUUCGUGUUGUUUUACUUUAUUUAUUUUGUUAUGUUUUAUUUUAUUAUUUUGAUUGCCUGCCAAUCCGCCGCGGAGCCCCGGGCCCCGCUGCCGGGCUCACAGUGACCUCCUGUGGACGUGCCGGCAAACGCCCGGCACCCGCAGGCAGGCAGCCUGCUGUUCCCACCUUAUUCCGCUUACCUUGCUUCGCUUUCGUACGUGGAUCCUAUGGGGGGCAAAGAAAAAUGUAUUUAAAAUGCUGGAAAAUAAAAGGCGACCUCCUAGAGAGCUCCUCUCAGAGAGCGCACUGUGCUCCAGCCACCACGGGAGCAUCUCUCCUCCUGAUUUCCAGGACUGUGCAAUAGCCCUGCGGAACAGCUUACGAAGAAACUGGAAGUCAGGAUCACAGCCCUGAAGAUAAGUUUAAGCAGAGAACCUCAGCACAGGAACUAUACGUCAUUGGAAGUUCACGUGCUCCUGAAAUGCCCUUGUCGUUAACGUGAGUGGCAAAACUCUGUGCCACAGACUACCUUGGGGCCGAGCUAUAGGAGGAACAGCAAGGUAAGGAGCAUCUUAAGCAGGUCUUGGUUAAGGGCAUGAUCAGUCUGCCUGCCUUCCUGCUCACAGGCCUUUGCAUUACACAAGGACUGUCAUAAGUAGCAGAUUUAUACCUAAUUCAAGGUACUUUUUAAUGUAUAGGCCAAUUGUGAAGGUCCACUUACCUUUCUUUAGGCAGCAGCAGCGUACGACAACCACAAUAAUAAUGACCAGGAGAAUAAAACCAACAAUUGAAAACACGACUGCAAGUACAAUAACCCAUGUGCUUAUGCUGUCUUCACUGUAACCAUUUUCUGACGUAGAGUUGACAAAGAAAACAGUUAUAGUUGCAUUCUGAGGGUUAGGGAGUGCUUCUAUAUCAGCUAAACAAGUCAAAAUCUCAGUGUCUGUUGGAGUCAAAGUCAGGACGCUCAAGGCAUUGUGGAGGUCAUUAG